rnacentral:rRNA from 1 species
ACUCCUACGGGAGGCAGCAGUGGGGAAUCUUGCACAAUGGGCGAAAGCCUGAUGCAGCAACGCCGCGUGCGGGAAGAAGGCCCUAGGGUUGUAAACCGCUUUCAGCAGGGAAGAAAAUGACGGUACCUGCAGAAGAAGGUGCGGCCAACUACGUGCCAGCAGCCGCGGUGACACGUAGGCACCAAGCGUUAUCCGGAUUUAUUGGGCGUAAAGAGCUCGUAGGCGGUUUGGUAAGUCGGGGUGUGAAAACUCUGGGGCUCAACCCAGAGAGGCCACCCGAUACUGCUAUGACUAGAGUACGGUAGGGGAGCGGGGAAUUCAUGGUGUAGCGGUGAAAUGCGCAGAUAUCAUGAGGAACACCAGCGGCGAAGGCGCCGCUCUGGGCCGUAACUGACGCUGAGGAGCGAAAGCGUGGGUAGCAAACAGGAUUAGAUA